AAUAGGAUGUCUGAUUAAGGUAAUAAAUUGUAAAUUUAUUUAAGAGUUUAACCUCUCCUAUUA
rnacentral:tRNA from 1 species